AUUUGAGUUACAAAGACUUGCCAUGCCGUAAAAAGAUGGUAUAUUGUUAUGAAGUGCCACAAAGUUUUAGCAAAGAAUUUUCUUCCGAGAAAGAGUAAUGUUGAUAGAGCAGGUCCAAAAUGAGACAAAGCAAAGUAUAACAAUAGCAACAACUCUUAUUUGUAUAAUAAUUUGCAGCUUGUGAAGACCUUUAACAUCUGUUAUUUCAUCUAAUACAGAAACUUUGUUAUUAAUAAGGUAGACAGUAUUAUCCUAAUUUUAAACAGGAGGUAACUUAGAAAAAAUUACCUGUUAUAAACAAGAUGCCCCAUUUGAAAUAUACAGAAUUGGGUCACAUGGUACAUUAUAGCAAUGUAGCAAAUGAUAGAACAUUUAGUGCUUUUCAUGGGGCAACUACCCCUGAAAAAAUGUAUGUGAAAAGUUUAAAAUUAGUAAAAUAUCAGGGUGCUAUCUUGCAGUGAGCCUCUACUUUAAAGAAUUUUAACUGUGGUAAGGAAGAUAAGCAUAUCAGGCAGUUAUUUUACUGCUUAGCCUAUUACAAUAGCACCAAUGGCCUUAAGAAAUGCACAAAAUUGUUUUCAAAGUUGGCUGUAGUGAUUUCUGCCCUGCUCCACCAAUUACAAGGUAAAGUCAUCAUUUCCAUCUCUGGAAUACAGGCUAGCCGUAUGAUUUCUGCACCAAGUUUUUUAUUAGGCUUCUAAUAUAGGCCAUGCUGAUGGAACAAAGUUUAUAAGUAUUAUUUUAUUAUCUUUUUAUCAAGGCAUUCGGAGCAGGAAUGUAUUCCUUGAUGAAUUCCCAUUUCUGUCCAUCUCAACCACUGUAAAAUACUUAAUGUUAAAUGCCCAUGCAACAAAUUUUUAAUUAUAUAAGUGGAUUGCACUUGUGACUAAAACAUCUAGUUUCUUACUCAAUGUUUAUUUCUCCAUAUCUCUUUACAAACAGAGCUCUGAUUUUGUUGAAUAUAUAAAAGUGACCACCUUGAAAAAAAUACAUUUCCCAGCGUCCCUUGUAAACAUGUGAUAUAGUUCUACCCAUUGAGAUCUAAGAGAAAGUAUACAAUGUGCCUAACUCGUUACAAGGAAGCCAACUCAACCAGAAUAAUCCUUUUACAUUUUCUUCUUCCCAUCUUUCUUCCUGGAGUAUGGUUUGGAUACUGGAGCUCCAACUGUUACCUGCAACCAUACAAUAUAAGCAUACUUGCCAGGCACUGUUUCUUGUAUUGGAGAUGGAAAGGAAGAAAAACUAGUCUCCUGUUUGCAUGGAGCUUUGAAUCAUAUUCUAAUGAAUAAAUGAAUUAGUAUAUGAAUAAUCAAUAUAUUGCUUUCUUGUCCCUUCCGAAUGACUGAUUUAUCAAAUAUGGCAAUGAUUUAUUUCAUUGCUCACACAUAGAAUAGCACAUGAAUAUGUCUACUUCCUGACCUCCCCCAUUUACCAAAGAGUACUUUGAGACCCAAUAACUUGAAAUAAUAUGUUCAAGCAUACACAAUUAUUGAAGAAACUUUAACAUUGGAUGACAGGUUAAUAUUACCAAGAUCAUAGAACAAAGCCAAUUCAUUAGGAUUCAUGUAAUGAAUUGGAGGAUACAUCUACUGGUUAGCUGGAACUGGAAGCUGAAGGGAGGCAAGGUUCCUACUCUUUCACUGGGUACAUGCUGGUGAAGUGAACUGUAUUCACUGUAAGCAGGCUAGUAGGAAACCAAAUCCAACAGAGUGGUUUAGAAUGUCUAAAAUCUAAAAGGGCUACACCAAAUCAUUUAGAAACUAAAUGAUUUCUUUUACAUCAGAGAAACAUAAGAAAUUCACAAUAUGAAUCCAGUUUGACACUUAUUUGUCAUGGGCCACACUGGGGUUUAAAUCAAAUAUUUCUCACCUGUACAAUGGCAUAAAGAUGUCUCAACCACUCUCAAUUAUUUUUUUCUCAAUUGUAUAAAUUCAGAUUUCUAGGUUCUGUUUUUCACCUCCCUCAAAUUAUGAACAGAAUGUAAAGAACUGUGCAGAAUAACUAUUGAAAGCCCUUAUGGGGAAACUUGUCCACAUGAGAAGAGAAACUUUCUGAAGGUUUUCUGCAUGUGUAAUAAAUUGACUGAAAUUUUUGCUCACAUAAAGAAAAGAGUCACUUUACAGAGACAAAUGACAUUAAAGCUAAAACUUAAGCAAAUUCUGCAUUUUAACUCAUGACAUUUUUGUGUAUGUCUUUUACGUGAUUAGAAAAUAAAUGUAAGAGAACAGUUUGAAGUUUAAGAAGUUUGUACUUAGAUACAUCAUUAUUCUUUAUUAAAAAAUGAGAUUUACAGCUUUAUGAGAACUUGAGUUUUUGUAUCUGUAAGGUGUCUUCUGUCUAUUUUCACAUGAAUUUCCAUAAUGCACAAUGAAAAAUUUUAUUACACUUAUUUCAUAUAAACAUCAUGGGAAAUGACUAUCUUAAUAUGAAGUCUGAUAUUGGGUAUAGAAGUUAAGCCUUUUACUUCUGAAUAUUGUAUGCAGUAUUACUUUGCAUUUUGAAAGUCAAAUUAUUCUGUACAAAUGGUAAAAUUUACCUUUAUAAAGAAAAUGUUUAUAUUUGCUGGCUUGUGUUUUUUCAGCUCUUAGGAAUUAUUGAUCUUAUGAUACAUUUCAGUAUUUUACAUCUAAUACAUUCUCAAUGUGUGACACAGAUGUUUGCUGAGGUCACCUGCUCCGUGAUAUAUAUGUAUGUAUGUGUGUGUGUGUGUAUAAUAUUUUUACUAACCCAUUUGUCUACAAAUUUUUUUCUCACAGUGGCAUACCCAUGGUUAGAAGGUGCAUAUGGUCCACUCCCAGUGCAGGCAUUGUCAUUACAUCACUUAAAAACAAUAAUAAAACUAACUCAAAAUUGAUAUUUUUAAUUAUCACCAUUUGUUAGCAAUUCUAAAUAAUGCUAAUGAUAAAAUUAUCCUUCCUGAAAAAUAUAAUCUUUUGUAGAUAUAAAUAGUAAAUAAUUAAUACAGUUACUGCUGAAUUUUAAUUAAUUAUACGUGUGCAUGUGUAUUUCAAAUCACAUUUUAUUACUUAUCCUCUAAGUAAUCUGCUACCUCCUCAUUUACUUAGCUCCCUCUGCUCCCUGUUAACAAAAUCAAUUUUUGCAUUAUAUUCUUUUCUACAAAAACACAAAUUAAAACAAGUUUCAUGCAAAGCAUUUGUGUCUGUGGUCUUCGCUACAGAAUUGGUUUCUGAUGAUGGUGGUGGUAAGUGAUAUUUACAUGGCUGAUCCACUCAACCCCUUUUCUGUCUCAUGAUCCUGAGAUUCUGUCUGCGAUCUCACAUUCAUAAGCCUUUAUAAAAAUUUGAAGCUUCUUGAAAACUCAAUUCAAUUUGCUCUGACAUACAAAGAAGUUUAGUUCUUUACUCUUUCUGAUUCUACCUGUCAUUAAAAAACGGCUCACCAAUGUACUCUGCUUAACUACAGAUAGAUUAUGCACUUCAGCUUCAACCAUUUAGCAGCACAGAAGAAAUGGAAGAAGCUUUAGCAUUUGUGAAAUAGAGAGCUAUUUCCAUCUUAUAUGAGCUGUACUAUUUAUCUGAGAUGGUGCAAAUGACUACUGCCAAUUUUGGUUAUAAAUAAUAUUUCAACUUCACUAUAGAGCAGUUUUAAAAAGAUUUCAUAUUCAUAAGAGUGGGUUUCAGGACACUCUGGCUUUGGAAUAAAG
rnacentral:lncRNA from 10 species